rnacentral:rRNA from 1 species
UACAAUGCGGGAAACCGUGAUAGGGGAACUCUGAGUGCCCGUUAAAUCGGGCUGUCCAUCAGUUUAAACAACUGGUGAAGAAAGGGCCGGGCAAGACCGGUGCCAGCCGCCGCGGUAAUACCGGCGGCUCGAGUGGUGGCCACUAUUACUGGGCUUAAAGCGUUCGUAGCUGGUUUGUUAAGUCUCUGGGGAAAUCUUCCGGCUUAACCGGAAGGCGUCUCAGGGAUACUGGCAGACUAGGGACCGGRAGAGGUGAGGGGUACUCCAGGGGUAGGAGUGAAAUCCUGUAAUCCUUGGGGGACCACCUGUGGCGAAGGCGCCUCACCAGAACGGYUCCGACAGUGAGGGACGAAAGCUGGGGGAGCAAACCGGAUUAGAUACCCGGGUAGUCCCAGCCGUAAACGAUGUGCGUUAGGUGUAUCGGUGACCACGAGUCACCGAGGUGCCGAAGAGAAAUCGUGAAACGUACCGCCUGGGAAGUACGGUCGCAAGGCUGAAACUUAAAGGAAUUGGCG